UACGUAGGGUGCGAGCGUUAAUCGGAAUUACUGGGCGUAAAGCGUGCGCAGGCGGCGCGUUUAAGACAGGUGUGAAAGCCCCCGAGCUUAACUUGGGAAUUGCGCUUGUGACUGGCGUGCUGGAGUGUGGCAGAGGGAGGUGGAAUUCCACGUGUAGCAGUGAAAUGCGUAGAGAUGUGGAGGAGCACCGAUGGCGAAGGCAGCCUCCUGGGCCAGCACUGACGCUCAUGCACGAAAGCGUGGGGAGCAAACAGG
rnacentral:rRNA from 1 species